rnacentral:rRNA from 1 species
GACGAACGCUGGCGGCGUGCUUAACACAUGCAAGUCGAACGGUAAGGCCCUUCGGGGUACACGAGCGGCGAACGGGUGAGUAACACGUGGGUGAUCUGCCCUGCACUUCGGGAUAAGCCUGGGAAACUGGGGCUAAUACCGGAUAGGACCACUGCCUGCAUGGGUGGUGGUGGAAAGCUUUUGCGGUGUGGGAUGGGCCCGCGGCCUAUCAGCUUGUUGGUGGGGUGAUGGCCUACCAAGGCGACGACGGGUAGCCGGCCUGAGAGGGUGACCGGCCACACUGGGACUGGGAUACGGCCCAGACUCCUACGGGAGGCAGCAGUGGGGAAUAUUGCACAAUGGGCGCAAGCCUGAUGCAGCGACGCCGCGUGAGGGAUGACGGCCUUCGGGUUGUAAACCUCUUUCAGCACCGACGAAGCGCAAGUGACGGUAGGUGCAGAAGAAGGACCGGCCAACUACGUGCCAGCCGCCGCAGUAA